AGUGGGAAUCUUGCACAAUGGACGAAAGUCUGAUGCAGCGACGCCGCGUGAGGGAUGAAGGCUCUCGGGUCGUAAACCUCUGUUGACAGGGAAGAAUAACUGACGGUACCUGUCGAGGAAGCCUCGGCUAACUCCGUGCCAGCAGCCGCGGCAAGACGGGGGAGGCUAGCGUUGUCCGGAAUGACUGGGCGUAAAGCGCGUGUAGGCGGGAUAUUAAGUCAGCGGUGAAAGCCCCUCGCUCAACGAGGGAACGGCCGCUGAUACUGGGAUUCUUGAGGGCAGGAGAGGAGAGCGGAAUUGCCGGUGUAGCGGUAAAAUGCGUAGAAAUCGGCAAGAACACCCGUGGCGAAGGCGGCUCUCUGGACUGCUCCUGACGCUGAGACGCGAAAGCUAGGGUAGCGAACGGGAUUAGAAACCCGAGUAGUCC
rnacentral:rRNA from 1 species